UACGAAGGGGGUUAGCGUUGCUCGGAAUCACUGGGCGUAAAGGGUGCGUAGGCGGGUCUUUAAGUCAGGGGUGGAAUCCUGGAGCUCAACUCCAGAACUGCCUUUGAUACUGAGGAUCUUGAGUUCGGGAGAGGUGAGUGGAACUGCGAGUGUAGAGGUGAAAUUCGUAGAUAUUCGCAAGAACACCAGUGGCGAAGGCGGCUCACUGGCCCGAUACUGACGCUGAGGCGCGAAAGCGUGGGGAGCGAACCGG
rnacentral:rRNA from 1 species